CCUACGGGAGGCAGCAGUAGGGAAUCUUCCGCAAUGGACGAAAGUCUGACGGAGCAACGCCGCGUGAGUGAUGAAGGUUUUCGGAUCGUAAAGGUCUGUUGUUGGGGAAGAACAAGUACCGUCCGAAUAGGGCGGUACCUUGACGGUACCUAACCAGAAAGCCACGGCUAACUACGUGCCAGCAGCCGCGGUAAUACUUAGGUGGCAAGCGUUGUCCGGAAUUAUUGGGCGUAAAGGGCUCGCAGGCGGUUCCUUAAGUCUGAUGUGAAAGCCCCCGGCUCAACCGGGGAGGGUCAUUGGAAACUGGGGAACUUGAGUGAAGAAGAGGAGAGUGGAAUUCCACGUGUAGCGGUGAAAUGCGUAGAGAUGUGGGGGAACACCGGUGGCGAAGGCGACUCUCUGGUCUGUAACUGACGCUGAGGAGCGAAAGCGUGGGGAGCGAACAGGAUUAGAUACCCUGGUAGUCCACGCCGUAAACGAUGAGUGCUAAAUGUUAGGGGGCUUUCGCCCCUUAGUGCUGCAGCUAACGCAUUAAGCACUCCGCCUGGGGAGUACGGUCGCAAGACUGAAACUUAAAGGAAUUGACGG
rnacentral:rRNA from 1 species